rnacentral:rRNA from 1 species
UAUCAAGCGUCAAAGGGCAUUUGGUGAAUGCCUUGGCACUGAGAGGCGAUGAAGGACGUAGUACGCUGCGAUAAGCUGCGGGGAGGUGCGAACAACCUUUGAUCCGCGGAUUUCCGAAUGGGGCAACCCGACCCUUUGGGUCAUCGUAAAAUGAAUUCAUAGUUUUACGAAGCGAACCCGGUGAACUGAAACAUCUAAGUAACCGGAGGAAAGGACAUCAACCGAGACUCUGUGAGUAGUGGCGAGCGAAAGCGGAAGAGGCCAGUGGCGUCAAUUUAAGAACCAGAACUGUUUGGAAAAGCAGACCAUAGUGGGUGAUAGUCCCGUAUGGGUAGAAAAAGUUGACGUCCUUGAGUAAGGCGGGACACGUGAAAUCCUGUCUGAACAUGGGGGGACCACCCUCCAAGCCUAAGUACUCCUCAGUGACCGAUAGUGCACAAGUACCGUGAGGGAAAGGUGAAAAGAACCCCGACGAGGGGAGUGAAAUAGAAUCUGAAACCGAAUGCCUACAAGCAGUAGGAGCCUCGUUUGAUCUUCGGGUCAAUCAGGGGUGACUGCGUACCUCUUGUAUAAUGGGUCAGCGACUUAGUCUUACGAGCAAGCUUAAGCCGAUAGGUGUAGGCGUAGCGAAAGCAAGUCUUAAUAGGGCGUUAAGUUCGUAGGAUUAGACCCGAAACCGAGUGAUCUAGCCAUGGGCAGGUUGAAGAAUGGGUAACACCAUUUGGAGGACCGAACCCACGUCUGUUGAAAAAGACGGGGAUGACCUGUGGUUAGGGGUGAAAGGCUAAUCAAACUCGGAAAUAGCUGGUUCUCCGCGAAAUCUAUUUAGGUAGAGCGUCGAUUGUUUACCGCCGGGGGUAGAGCACUGGAUGGGCUAGGGGGGCGCGAGCCUUACCAAACCCAACCAAACUCCGAAUACCGGUGAGUAUAGAUCGGCAGACAGACCAUGGGUGCUAAGGUCCGUGGUCGAGAGGGAAAGAGCCCAGACCAUCAGCUAAGGUCCCUAAGUCAUGGCUAAGUGGGAAAGGAUGUGGGAAGACCAAGACAGCCAGGAGGUUGGCUUAGAAGCAGCCAUCCUUUAAAGAAAGCGUAAUAGCUCACUGGUCUAGAUAAGUCGUCCUGCGCCGAAAAUGUAACGGGGCUAAAGCCAUGCACCGAAGCUAUGGGUGUAUAUCAAAUAUCGUUUUGAUAUAUGCAGUAGCGGAGCGUUCCGUAAGCCUGUGAAGGGAUUUUGUAAAGAAUCCUGGAGGUAUCGGAAGCGAGAAUGCUGACAUGAGUAGCGAUAAAGAGUGUGAGAAACACUCUCGCCGUAAGUCCAAGGGUUCCUGCGCAAGGUUAAUCCGCGCAGGGUGAGCCGGUCCCUAAGGCGAGGGCGAAAGCCGUAGUCGAUGGGAACCUGGUUAAUAUUCCAGGGCCUGCUGGAGGUGACGGAUGCUGUAAGUUGUCUUUGCUUAUUGGAUUGCAAAGGCAGCGAAGGUGUCCCAGGAAAUAACCCCAGCGUAUAGACCGUACCCCAAACCGACACAGGUGGACUGGUAGAGUAUACCAAGGCGCUUGAGAGAAUGGUGUUGAAGGAACUCGGCAAAAUGCCCUCGUAACUUCGGGAGAAGAGGGCCCUGUUUUUGGGCAACCAGAAGCAGGGGACACAAAAGAGAGGGUAGCGACUGUUUAAUAAAAACACAGGGCUCUGCAAAGCCAGUGAGGCGAUGUAUAGGGUCUGACGCCUGCCCGGUGCCGGAAGGUUAAAAGGAGGGGUGCAAGCUCUGAAUUGAAGCCCCGGUAAACGGCGGCCGUAACUAUGACGGUCCGAAGGUAGCGAAAUUCCUUGUCGGGUAAGUUCCGACCUGCACGAAUGGCGUAACGACUUCCCUGCUGUCUCCAACACCAACUCAGCGAAAUUGAAUUCUCCGUGAAGAUGCGGAGUACCCGCGGUUAGACGGAAAGACCCCGUGCACCUUUACUAUAACUUUGCAGUGGUAUUAGGAAAUGAAUGUGUAGGAUAGGCGGGAGCCUUUGAAGCGCCGGCGCCAGCCGGUGUGGAGGCAACCUUGAAAUACCGCCCUUUCGUUUUCUGAUAUCUAACCAAGCAUGCUGAAGCGCGUGCUGGGACCCUGCAUGGUGGGUAGUUUGACUGGGGCGGUCGCCUCCCAAAGAGUAACGGAGGCGCGCGAUGGUAGGCUCAGGCUGGUCGGAAAUCAGCCGCUGAGUGCAAUGGCAUAAGCCUGCCUGACUGCGAGGCAUACAAGCCGAGCAGAGACGAAAGUCGGUCAUAGUGAUCCGGUGGUUCUUCGUGGAAGGGCCAUCGCUCAACGAAUAAAAGGUACGCCGGGGAUAACAGGCUGAUCUCCCCCAAGAGUCCACAUCGACGGGGAGGUUUGGCACCUCGAUGUCGGCUCAUCACAUCCUGGGGCUGGAGCAGGUCCCAAGGGUAUGGCUGUUCGCCAUUUAAAGUGGUACGUGAGCUGGGUUUAGAACGUCGUGAGACAGUUCGGUCCCUAUCUGCCGUGGGUGUUCGAGAAUUGAGAGGAUCUGUCCUUAGUACGAGAGGACCGGGAUGGACGCACCUCUGGUGUACCGGUUGUGGCGCCAGCCGCAUCGCCGGGUAGCUAUGUGCGGACGGGAUAACCGCUGAAAGCAUCUAAGCGGGAAACCCACCUCAAAACUAGUUCUCGCAUGAGAGCCGUGGAAGACCACCACGUUGAUAGGCCAGAUGUGUAAGUGUCGUAAGGCAUUUAGCUAACUGGUACUAAUAGCUCAAUUGGCUUGAUAUA